rnacentral:rRNA from 1 species
AUUGAACGCUGGCGGCAUGCCUUACACAUGCAAGUCGAACGGCAGCACGGACUUCGGUCUGGUGGCGAGUGGCGAACGGGUGAGUAAUGUAUCGGAACGUACCUUUCAGUGGGGGAUAACGUAGCGAAAGUUACGCUAAUACCGCAUAUUCUGUGAGCAGGAAAGCAGGGGAUCGAAAGACCUUGCGCUGAUUGAGCGGCCGAUAUCAGAUUAGCUAGUUGGUGGGGUAAAGGCCUACCAAGGCGACGAUCUGUAGCGGGUCUGAGAGGAUGAUCCGCCACACUGGAACUGAGACACGGUCCAGACUCCUACGGGAGGCAGCAGUGGGGAAUUUUGGACAAUGGGGGCAACCCUGAUCCAGCCAUGCCGCGUGAGUGAAGAAGGCCUUCGGGUUGUAAAGCUCUUUCGGCCGGGAAGAAAUCGCAUAGGCUAAUACCCUGUGUGGAUGACGGUACCGGAGUAAGAAGCACCGGCUAACUACGUG